rnacentral:rRNA from 1 species
GACGAACCUUGCUAACGUUAUUCGGAAUUACUGGGCGUAAAGGGCUCGUAGGCGGCCAACUAAGUCGGAUGUGAAAUCCCCAGGCUCAACUUGGGAACUGCAUCCGAUACUGGAUGGCUUGAAUUCGGGAGAGGGAUGCAGAAUUCCAGGUGUAGCGGUGAAAUGCGUAGAUAUCUGGAGGAAUACCGGUGGCGAAGGCGGCAUCCUGGACCGACAUUGACGCUGAGGAGCGAAAGCUAGGGGAGCAAACGGG